rnacentral:lncRNA from 1 species
CAGAGGCUUUAGAACCUGUUGGAUCCCGCCUCCAGAGAUUCUGACUUGACUUGAUUAGCUGAAGGCCCAGGCACUGGGAGUUUUAUAAAGCUCCCCAGGUGACUGUAUUGUAAGUUGCUAGGGGCUGACGUUUAAAGGCCUAACAUGUGGUGGGGGUUGGGGGGUGGCGGGAGGAAGGUGACGAGAGAAAGCGCUUGCUGUUAAAUGAAUCGGUGAAUCUCUAACUGAUGGAAUAAAGGUAGGGGAAAUAAUUUUGAGUGUAGGAAACAUAUGAUAGGGGUCAAUGAAAGAAGAAACUUCUUUCCAGAACUGCCCAUCUCCGUCCUCCCUCUGCACAGCUGGGCCUGAGCUGCACCCUUAAACCAUCUGUGCUUGGUGGCCUGGAAUCUAGAAAGCGCGGUGCCUACCUGCAAUGGAGGUUUGGUGUUAAGGACGAGAUUUAUAUGACAAAGAUAUUUCUGGCAAGACGUGGAGAGAAAGAGUCCCUUCAAUGAAAAAAUGCAAGACUGUUCUGACUGCUUUUUCAGAACAGAAAUAUAUCCACCAACUUCUGUAUGAAGUCACCAAGAAUACCGCAACCAGCAAAGAACUCCUCUCUAAAAACGUGGCUCAUCCCCUCGAAAGAUCCAGGUGAACACACUGGGAUUCAUCACGGAAAGAACUCAACCCAUGGAGAAUGAAGAGGAGCAAGACAGGAAAAUCACCCAUCUGGGAAUGGCAUGGAGCCAGGGGAGGCUCCCCAACCAUGGGGAAAUGGUGCUCACCAUUGGCCAGCCCCACCAAAAGCCAAACUAUAAGGAGGCAUCCAGCCAAACAGCCUCUUCAGUCUUGGAACAGCUUGGAAAAUGAAUCUGGAAGGACAAAUAGGUGAUCUACAGCAUAAUCUCCAUUAUAGUGUACUUUCUCUUCAUCCGGUUGAUUUGGUUUGGAUCUGUGUCCCCACCCAAAUCUCAUGUUGAACUGUAAUCUCCAGUGUUGGAGGUGGGGCCUCGUGGGAGGUGUUUGGAUCAUGAAGGCAGAUUCCUUAUGAAUGAUUUGGGCCAUCCCUUUGGUGAUGAGUGAGCUCUUGCUCUGAGUUGACAGGAGAUCUGGUCAUUCAAAAGUGUGUGACAUGCUCCCUGCCUCCACCUGCUCUUGCUCAUGCUUUUGCCAUGUGACUUGCCUGCCCCUUGUUCGCCUUCUGCCAUGAUUGUAAGCUUCCAGAAGCCUCCCUGGAAGCUGAGUAGUUGCCAGCACCAUGCUUCCUGUAAAGUCUGAAGAACUGUGAAUGAAUUAAACUUCUUUUCUUUAUAAAUUACUUUAUAAAUGGUAAAGGUAUUUCUUUACAGUAAUGCAAGAAUGCCCUAAUACACAGGUCCGAGAUCAAAGGAUAAAAAAUUA